UACGAAGGGUGCUAGCGUUGCUCGGAAUCACUGGGCGUAAAGGGUGCGUAGGCGGGUCUUUAAGUCAGGGGGGAAAUCCUGGAGCUCAACUCCAGAACUGCCUUUGAUACUGAGGAUCUUGAGUUCGGGAGAGGUGAGUGGAACUGCGAGUGUAGAGGUGAAAUUCGUAGAUAUUCGCAAGAACACCAGUGGCGAAGGCGGCUCACUGGCCCGAUACUGACGCUGAGGCACGAAAGCGUGGGGAGCAAACAGG
rnacentral:rRNA from 1 species